UGCAGGAAAAGAGAUGGAUGGAAAUGUCACAGAAUUAGAAAAUCUUGAACAACUUUGAGGUGAAAGGAUUUUGCUGCUGGAGGUGGGAGAUGGACAGUAGGAGCAAAGAUACUGAAUCCACAGAUAAGUCAUCUAGAUUAAAUAGCCCAAAAUGCCCAUCUGAGAGGAAUGGGAGACACAGAGAGAAUGAGAUGUUCUUCUAGAUGGAUCCAUAAAACCCUCGACGGUGGAGAAGCCUUACAAAUGACCUACAUGAGUGCCUUCACUAUAGAGAGGAGAGUUCAGGCCACAGAGGGGCAGUGAAACCUGCAGAUGAUGGUGGAGAAAGUGGCCCACAUCAAACUAAUGUAGAGAGAAGCAGAAGUCCAGAGGAGCGGAUACAAGGUCGGAUGAGGGCACCACGGCAGGGAGGGAAACUGUGAGGUCAGAUGACAUAGAGAUUUGAUGUCAAGACCAAGGAAUUCCCAGAGAGAUGAAUCCAGAUUCCAAUGGUCAAGAAGGUCAGUGCCAUGCCAGAGAAACAACAAGGAAUCUGGGUAGAAAUCACUACUCAAAGUGCUGGUGGGAACACAGAGGGAACAGAUCCUUCUUCUGGCUUCUCCAAUUUGAGACAACAUGUGAAGUGGAAACCAGAUUGAAAAGAAAAGAAUUGGAGAAGUAAAUACUACUAUGCAGAGAAAAGCUGUGUUGCUGGAAUUUAUUUUUCAUAUUCUGGGUAUCUUAUUGUAGUUAAAUGCUGGAUGUGCUACUGCUUGGAUCCUAAGAGGAAUGUGUGAAUUUGAGUGCUGUUCUUCCAAAAAACAAUGUGCUUUAACGGGAAGGGAGAUGGGCUUGGACACAAGUAUCCCACCAGAAAAGAAAUGUUUCUUGUGUGAGAUGCUAAUUAGUUCAUAAUGGCCUGGUUUGAUCUGGCCAUUAUACUGUGCUCCAGGAUCACACAUUUUAAUUAAAAUUUGCAUUGGAUUUGUGCCUUCAUAUAUAAAAUUUAAAUGAAUAAUAUAGUGAAAUAAAAUGCCCAUAGAGGACAUAAUAUAUGGAAGUCACUGUUCUAAGCACAGUAGAAAAUAACAAAGAUGAUCGACAUGAAAACUACCUUCUGAGCGCUGUCUCUCGGGGUCCACAGAUGCUCUGACACUGAAGUUGCCAAUACG